GCGCGUGUGUCCGAGUGGUCUAAGGAGCGCGACUCAAGUUCGCGUAGCGAAAGCUGCAUGGGUUCGAACCCCAUCGCGCGCA
rfam:Emiliania huxleyi CCMP1516 EMIHTscaffold_46_Cont1862, whole genome shotgun sequence.